rnacentral:misc_RNA from 1 species
UUUAUAAUUUUUUUUAUGAAAUUAAUGUGUGAAAUGAAAUUGUAGUGUUAUUUUUUUAAUUAUUUUAAAAUCUAGAAUUUUAUUUUGCCAUGAUUCUUUUAAUAUUUUGGAUACGGGUUCAGAUAUUUUACCCCAAAUCCCUUAUGAUUAAAUUUCCAGUAAAAAAUGCAAAAAAACAAUUGGGUUUGGGCAGGUUCUGGUAAUAUGCGGAUGGUAGUAA